rnacentral:tRNA from 1 species
CAUUAAGAAGCUAUGAAUCAACACUAGCCUUUUAAGCUAGAGAGAGAGGGACCCCCUCCCCUCCUUAAUGG